CGAGGUUGACCCUAACCGCAAGGGGGGCGCCUACCACGGUGAGCUUCAUGACUGGGGUG
rnacentral:rRNA from 1 species